CUUAUGUCUUACUUGUUCACGAAGGAACCAGAAGUGCUUCUGUUCUUUCUUUUCUUUUUUUAGUCUUAAGAAUUCUGGUGCUCAUGGGUGAUACCAGGCAAUGAAGGGCACAGCUGUAUUGUAGCUGACAAAAUGGCUUUGUUGGAGGUAUGGGACACCUGAAAUGAAAGGCAGAGAGCUUUCACUGGAGGCAACAGAUGCGGUGCCACCAGCAUGCCUGGAAGACUGGAAAUGUAUGAGUUCUGUGAGAUCCAUGAAAUCUGCUUGUAGGGCAGGUAGAACCAAGGGGACAGCGGAGAAGUCAGAGGUUGUGAUAUAAAGAGACAUGCAGUGAAAGUCUUUUGGUUUCAAAGCGAUCACUGCAGUACCUGGAGGUUUUACAGAGAGUAGCAUUCUGAUGUGUCCCUCGUGACUUCUGGCUUUUUGCAUGAGAACAAGUUUCAGCUGUUUUUGUGACCACGGCUCUCCAACCUCUGUUUCCAUUCUGUGCUCUCACCAGGAGAAAAGAGAAAAAGAGUUUUUGUUCAAGAAAACAAGAUCUUAAGUAGAAGACAACAGCCAGAAUGCUACAGAAAUCCUUUCCCUUUUAUGUCAGCAUCAAAUGCACAUACUCCAAAGUUUCUCCAACAGGAAUUGAAGGCCCUAUGUUGACAACUAAGAUCACAAUGAGUGGAUUUACAGGCCAGGCCAUUAGGUAGGGCAAGACUGUAAAACAUCUAGUAAUCUGCCUCGACUCAGCCUUUGUACCACCCCUCUGCAUGGCAACUAGUAGUGAAUAGCUGGGGAACAUUCUGCAUCCCGUCUGAACAUCUGCAUAAAUAUGGAUUGUUAAAGACGCUUUGUCACCAAAAAUGUGAAGGAUGAUAAGGAUAAUUCUGAAACAUUUUCUGUUUUUAAAAAAUGGGAGAUUUGGGGAGGGGCGAGGAGAGUGA